AUUACCGCCAAGUUUUCUUCCAGUUGUCAUCUCACUGAGUCUCAUGUCCCAUUAAUGAAGUUGUUUAAAUCUGGAAGACAGUUCACUAUAUCGAACCCGCCAAGAUGGCAAAUGUUUGGACGGGUGGAAGGUGGAUUUUGAUCCUCUUAUAUCUAGGUUCGGUACAAAGUCUGUGUAUUUAACUGGUAUGUAUACUCGUCUGUUAGUGCUUCUGGUGCCUAAUGUUUUUCAAACAGGUUAAAUUUUUACAAAUGAUCAAGCAGUCUGAGGAUGAUAUUGUAUUAAAAAGAUGUUAAUAGCAUUAACUUUACUAUGUCAUAAAGUAUAUUAUGUCAUAAAUCCUGAUUGCCUAUUGUGCAUGUGCUUUGAGAGAGAGAGAGAGAGAGAGAGAGAGAGAGAGAUUCUAGUUUUCUGAUCCUUUCAAUGUCCUAUUUACCAUAGAUACUUCGAAGAAGACGCAUACCUUGAAGUGGAUGGUAUUUGAAUCGGUAGUGGAGAAUGUUUGGGUCAAGCUUUGUUCUCAGAUUAUCACCACAGAACAAUUACAUAGUUGGUUUAUAUGCUCUGCUUCUUACAUGCAAAUAACAACGAAGUUUGAGGGAUGGCUUGCUGACUAAGGAACAUGGCUGCAAGUGUAUGAAAGCUGCUUGAAGUAUCUUCUUCUUUGCACUGCGAGGGAUUUUCUGAAAAGCUUCUGAUGAUGGGUGAACAUGAAUGCCAUUGACAAACAUUCCCAAUGCUAGACGUCUUGAGAACAACAAUCAACUUCAUCGCAGUCAGGCCCAGAUGAUGUAAAUUCCAUUGUCUUUUCCACUGCAGCAAUUGAAUUACUUUGCCGAUCAAUAGGGUUGGCCCUCAAUGGAGGAGAAAACAUUUCAAUGCGCGCGCAAGUUGCUUGUUGAAAUGCCCCCGUGAAGUCGCAAGAUGUAUUCGAGAAGGAGGUUGACUAUAUCUCCUGACUCAAAGGUUCAUCAUGUGCUCAAAUCACAAUAAGAAUUUUAUAUUUAUUUAUAGAGUCAUUGUUUCUCGAAACUUGAACAUUAAAUCAAGAAUAACGUCGCUUUUGUUUUGUUUUGUCUGCUUUGUGCAUUGUAACUGCUGAUGGUGGCUGACGUAAAUUGCUGGAGAAAUGAUUGGGAGUUGAUGGCCUAAGCGUUGAUCUCCAGAAGCACUCAUAUCGACUCUUUUUUUCCCUAUCCACGCUCUAAAUUUCUGCAACACUUUGAUUGUGAAUGAUAUGUUGUUGGUGGUUGAUUGUGAAUGAUAUGUUGUUGGUGGCCAGCAAUAGGGGCUGGCAGUGGUGGUCCGGCGACAAAUGGAGGUGGUAGCCGGUGAAGACUGCCGGUGGAGCAGCAAAAAUUUAGUUAAUCUCCAGUGAAGACCUUCAAUCAUCUGGAACUUCUGUAUUUGGUUAUGUAAUCUUGGUUUGCAGUCGGAAGGAGAAACUAAGAGCGUAUAGGGGGAAAAAAGCAGAAAUAAUGCAUAAAGAAAUGAAGGAAAAAAUAAUGGACCGAACCCCUUUUGUGUUUACGGCCUAGAUUGGCAAGGCCACAUAUGGCCCUAUGUCCGGAUUGAGCAGCUUGGGGCGUGAAUGAUGAUCAUUUUGGCCAGAAAUUAUUUUUGGAAUAGAAAUAGAAAUUCUUGGAUAA